UACGAAGGGGCGAGCGUUGUUCGGAUUUACUGGGCGUAAAGGGCGCGCAGGCGGUUUGUCGCGUCUGCCGUGAAAGUCCGGGGCCUCAACUCCGGAGUCGUGCGGUGGGUACGGGCAGACUAGAGUGAUGUAGGGGGAGACGUGGAAUUCCUCGGUGUAGCGGUGAAAUGCGCAGAUAUCAGGAGGAAUACCGAUGGCGAAGGCAGGUCUCUGGGCCACUACUGACGCUGAGAAGCGAAAGGCAUGGGGGAGCGAACAGG
rnacentral:rRNA from 1 species